rnacentral:rRNA from 1 species
GACGAACGCUGGCGGCGUGCUUAACACAUGCAAGUCGAACGGAGUGGCGAACGGGUGAGUAACACGUGGGUGAUCUGCCUUGCACUUCGGGAUAAGCUUGGGAAACUGGGUCUAAUACCGGAUAGUGCAAGAUGAGCUCGCGGCCUAUCUGCUUGUUGGUGGGGUAAUGGCCUACCAAGGCGUCGACGGGUAGCCGGCCUGCGAGGGUGUACGGCCACAUUGGGACUGAGAUACGGCCCAGAGUCCUACGGGGGGCAGCAGUGGGGAAUAGUGCACAAUGGGCGGAAGCCUGAUGCAGGGACGCCGCGUGGGGGAUGAAGGCGUUCGGGUUGUAAACUCCUUUCGACAGGGACGCGGUACCUGUAUAAGAAGCACCGGCUAACUACGUGCCAGCAGCCGCGGUAAUUC